UACGUAGGUGACAAGCGUUGUCCGGAUUUACUGGGCGUAAAGAGCGCGCAGGCGGUCGUUCAAGUCGAGUGUGAAAGCCCCCGGCUCAACUGGGGAGGGUCAUUCGAUACUGAUCGACUCGAAGGCAGGAGAGGGAAGUGGAAUUCCCGGGUGUAGUGGUGAAAUGCGUAGAUAUCGGGAGGAACACCAGUGGCGAAGGCGACUUCCUGGCCUGUUCUUGACGCUGAGGCGCGAAAGCUAGGGGAGCAAACGGG
rnacentral:rRNA from 1 species